rnacentral:rRNA from 1 species
GACGAACGCUGGCGGCGUGCUUAACACAUGCAAGUCGAACGGAAAGGCCCUGCUUGCAUGGUACUCGAGUGGCGAACGGGUGAGUAACACGUGGGUGAUCUGCCCUGCACUUCUGGAUAAGCCUGGGAAACUGGGUCUAAUACCGGAUAGGAGCCAUUUUUAGUGUGUUGGUUGGAAAGUUUUUUCGGUGUAGGAUGAGCUCGCGGCCUAUCAGCUUGUUGGUGGGGUAAUGGCCUACCAAGGCGGCGACGGGUAGCCGGCCUGAGAGGGUGGACGGCCACAUUGGGACUGAGAUACGGCCCAGACUCCUACGGGAGGCAGCAGGGGGGAAUCUUGCACAAUGGGCGCAAGCCUGAUGCAGCGACGCCGCGUGGGGGAUGACGGCCUUCUGGUUGUAAACUCGUUUCGCCAGGGACGAAGCUUUUUGUGACGGUACCUAGAUAAGAAGCACCGGCUAACUACGUG